rnacentral:rRNA from 1 species
UACGUAGGGGGGCAAGCGUUGUCCGGAUUUAUUGGGCGUAAAGAGCGUGUAGGCGGCCGUACAGGUCAGCUGUGAAAACUCGAGGCUCAACCUCGAGACGUCGGUUGAAACCGUACGGCUCGAGUCCGGAAGAGGCGAGUGGAAUUCCUGGUGUAGCGGUGAAAAUGCGCAGAUAUCAGGAGGAACACCAAUGGCGAAGGCAGCUCGCUGGGACGUACUGACGCUGAGACGCGAAAGCGUGGGGAGCAAACAGG